ACCCGUGACUCUUACGCCGCGCUUUGCCCAAAGCUUGGACGGCGCAAGGGCUCAUCCGCCGGCCCGGAGACCCCCACGCAGAGAAGCGCCCUCGGUCAGGUCGGCUCACCCGGCUCCGGACCCCCCAUUUCGCCCUCCCCGCGGCGUUCGUCCGCGUGCCCCCGGCAAGGACUCCGCAGCAUCACGCACGACGGCCCUGCCUCAGUACCUGAGUCACGUCCCGCGUCUCGGCGCGGGGAUGCCCGUGCUGGCGCCGGACCGCAGCCCGCUGUGCCCGUGUGCCCGCGCAGAGCCGCACAGCCCGUCUGCUCCCGGGCUGGGGAGCGCUCCCGCGCGGCGGCUCUGGAGCUGCUCGCCCCGCCCUCCACACGGGGCGCGCCCUGGGUCCUAUCGCCGCCGCGGCGACUCCCCCUCCACUACAGGUUCUUCGGCGCCCGGGCCCCGGCUGCGCGCAGCGCGACUCCACCGGCGCCGGCUCCGAGCGGGGCCCCGGUGCCUCACAAGGCAUCAGCACGAGCUUUGCGCUGCUUGCGUACAGUGCAACGCGGGGCUGGACCCUGCCGGCACGAAUGCUGCGCUGGCUGUCCGGAGGAAGAGGACCUGAGCAGCGGACUUCAACUUAUGAAUGGAUUUCUGCUGUUGAGGUCUAAACAACAACUGUCUCCGGCAGCUGAGCUAGAAUGGAUUCUGAAACAGAGUAAAACGCAAGCAGAAAUUAACUGUCAGCAGCUCUGUGAGAAUGCUGAAUGUAAUUGGUAUCAGAAAUCAGAGGAUCCAACACACAACCUGUCUUCAUCAAGAGAGGAGAUAUUUCCGUAUGAUGAGGAAAGUUCUCUGUAUAAAUAUAUCCCUGCUUUGGAAAUAAAAAAGCUGCAGGAACAGAAUGCCAGCCUUCGGGCUGCUAUUGCACAAAUGAGGAAAGAAAUGGAGAGUCUUGAUGAGCAGAUGUUGUCUUCUCUUCCUCAAACAGAAGACAGACAGUUUGCAGAGCAAGGGGCCAGAACCCAAAGUUCUUGA
rnacentral:lncRNA from 1 species